AUUUAUAUAGUUUAACUUAAAACAAUUCAUUUUCAAUGAAUAAAUGAAUUUUAUAUUCUAUAAAUA
rnacentral:tRNA from 1 species